rnacentral:rRNA from 1 species
CGGCAAACUCCGUGCCAGCAGCCGCGGUAAUACGAAGGGGGCAAGCGUUGUUCGGAAUUAUUGGGCGUAAAGGGCAUGUAGGCGGUUCGGUAAGUUAAAGGUGAAAUCCCAGGGCUUAACCCUGGAGCUGCUUUUAAUACUGCCAAACUAGAGUCCGGGAGAGGAUAGUGGAAUUCCUAGUGUAGAGGUGAAAUUCGUAGAUAUUAGGAGGAACACCAGUGGCGAAGGCGGCUAUCUGGUCCGGUACUGACGCUGAAGUGCGAAAGCCUGGGGAGCAAACAGGAUUAGAUACCCUGGUAGUCCAC